UUUUCUGAAUCAUCUUUAAGGGGUAGGAGCCUUGCCUGAUGUUACCCGAGUCCUCCGCCUCACCAGCACAGGACUGGGCGAAACGCCUACGGAACAAAAGCAAAUGACAAUGCCUUAGGUCGCCUCCAUCAAAGCUCCAUGAAUCUGACGGUGGGGUCAGAGUCCUGGGAAGGGUCCACCUUUGUGCCUUCCGUACAUUGCCUGGGUGGCACCCAGGAGGCUCCAGGGAACAGACAACGAGUGAGCGAAACCUCGGCUCCGCAGGGCCCGUGACUGCUCAUCCCUGCGUCCCAGAGGUGCUCGUGUUCGAGGGCCUUGUCUGGUCCUUGUUUUUGACACUACCUCUCCCCACUGUGGGUGCACAGAAGGCCCCAGAAGGCGGUCGGAAGAGAACAAGACCCAGAUUCCCGCCGCGCCCCGCCCUGCCUCCAUUAGAGCGUCCAGAAUAUUUUCCAUGUGUUAUUUCCGCUCCUCGGGGUGCCUGGGGUCCUGGGCCACUCUUAUGCCUCAGCCCCAGGCCCAGCACGGAAACUACGGCCAAGGAGCACCCAGGGCCCGUCCGUAGUAGCCCGGCUUAGAUGACCGGACGGCAGCCGGGUACACCUGGCGUUGUCCCCGACCCCGCCCCUGGCCGGGCGGCACCCGGAAAGCUCCCCGCCGGAGCCAGAGCGGCGAAGCAGGGCCAUGGCGACAGCGCCAGCAGUGUGCGCCCCGCAGGGUCCCCCGCCGGGUGCACCAUCCCCGCCGGUCAGCACGCCCGCGCCCGCGCCAGCGCCCGCGUCCGGCUUGGGCCGUUGCCGGAUGGCGUUGCUACUGGCCGUGGCGCUGGACGUGGCGGGCAUGGCGGCGCUGCUGACCGGCGUGUUUGCGCAGCUGCAGGUGCGGGGUCGUGACUUCGGCGACCUGCUCAUUUACUCCGGGGCGCUGCUAGUCUUCAUGAGCCUUCUGGGCUGGAUCCUCUGGUACACCGGCAACAUCGAGAUCUCGCGCCAGGAGCUCGAGCGCGACUACGGCCUGCAGCCCUCCGCGCUCGCCCGCCUGGCGCGUAAGCUCUCCCGCCGCUGGUCGGCGCCCGCUUCUGCCACGGCGGGCCAGCGUACGACGCCUGACUCCCGGGGAGCUCGCCGUGCCACCCGCGCGCCCCCGCCGCCCAACGCCGGCUCCCGCCGAGUACGCCUGCAACUAGCCACGCUCGAGGCCGCGCCCGGGGCGGCGGGCGCGGGCACGGAGUGAGCCCGAGCAGGAGUGCCCUUGCUGUCUGUACUCCGCAGAAAACUUCCCAUGUGUCCUUUAAGAUCCAACUCAACUCCGCUGCCUUUCUCUGGGUCUUCACAUUACCAGCUCAUGGCCCCACCUGCCAGGACCCGACCCAGAUGUGCAGCUUCUCCCAACAUCCUGUGGCCACCAGGAGGCCUCCCUGUGCUCCUCCGUCACCUGGAUAAAUGACUGCCUCCCA